UUGGUUGGUGAACCUCUCCUAUAAAUAGAACCUCAGUUAGAAGGCCAAAAUCACACAACUCAGUAGCUGCUUCCCUUACUAGAAAAAAAAACUACACUUGAGACCCAUCAAUCUCAAGUGCUCCCUCUCAUUUUGGUGGCCAAAACCCCCUCCCUCCCUUGGAAGAGAAUAGCACUCCUUCCAUCCACCAAUUUCCUUGAGGUUUUGUUGGCAUAUGAACUAAAAUCUUCGAAGAUGAGCCGUCGGACAGCGAAGUUCGAGCGACGAAUUGGGUGUGGAUUGUUGACGUAGCGACACAAAAGAUUGACACUUUUGUGAGAAGUUUCUUGGGCUGAUUGGUUGAAGGACAUAACUUUUACUUAUGGAUUUCGUUUUAAACCAAGGUUUUUAUUUUUGUCGUACGUCGAUAUUUUUAUUUGGAAUUUACGCUAGUGGGUUCUUAAUUAGGUUUCAUCGGGUUACUUUAUUAUUAUUAUAACUAUUCCGUUUUAAGUUCUGAAUGUCGUUGUUGGAUAAGUUUUUGAAAAGGACCAAAUGAUAAGGUUUUUGAAUCGACUAAGAUAAAAUCAAAUGACGAGUUUUUUAACUUGAGGAUAAUGAAUCAGUUGUGAAAAUGAUUUUGAAAAUAAGAUUGAAAAACCCCAUUUGAGUUCAAGUAAGAACUCGAGUUGUUCUGUCUAAGGCAAGAAGGGCUUUUA